GAAGAGAUAAGCUAAGAAAGCUAUUAGGUUCAUACCCUAAACAUAGAAAAUGUGAUUCUUCUCUUUA
rnacentral:tRNA from 1 species